UACGUAGGUGGCAAGCGUUAUCCGGAAUUACUGGGCGUAAAGCGCACGCAGGCGGCUCUUUAAGUUUGACGUGAAAGCUCCCGGCUUAACUGGGAGAGGUCGUUGAAGACUGAAGAGCUUGAGGCAAUGAGAGGGGUGUAGAAUUCCCGGUGUAGUGGUGGAAUGCGUAGAUAUCGGGGGGAAUACCAGUGGCGAAAGCGGCACCCUAGCAUUAGCCUGACGCUCAUGUGCGAAAGCGUGGGGAGCGAACCGG
rnacentral:rRNA from 1 species